UUGAGCACACAUAUUUUGCAUGCAUUUCCGUCCUCCCUUGGUCAUGCUGUCUUGUGACUUGACCUGCUUCGUAGGGCUGUUGGGAAGGCGAAAUGGUGGAAGCCCAACCCUCGGACAUGCAGCUCAGUGGGGACCCUGGACUCCGUUAUUUUUCUGCCAAACUUUCUGCACAGGAAUGGCUGGAGAAUGCACAAGGCACACACAUGGAUUCCUCAAGCCAGCCACAAUCCUGGGGAUUCUGCUGCCUCCCACAGCCCUUGGGAGAACAAAACAGCCCACCAGGCAAGAUGCCCGGAGAUGCUGUGAAUUAAGCUCUGUCCGGGCAUUUAAUAUUUGGAGAUGCUGUAGUGUCUCAGAGCUCACCCCUGCUCAGGAGACCUCUCACACCCAAGCAUUUAGAACAGGGCUGCUCAACUUUGGCCAUCCCGCAGAUGUUGGCCUACAACUCCCAGAAUCCCUUGCUACGGGCCACUGUGCCUGGAGAUUGUGGGAACUGUAGUACAAAAAGAGCUGUGGGGCUAAGGUUGAUCAGGGCUGGUCUAGACCUUCCCAAGUUAGGGGCCUCCAGAUGUUGCUGAACUAAAACUCCCAUCAGCACCUGCUCCCAUUAAUAAGGGAAUGCACUCUAUUCUGUGCUAGUCACACUUCCCUUGGAAUACCCUGUGCAUAUUUAUGCAACGGGUCAUGUGGUAUUGUCAUUUUAUAGAUCUGAUGUUUCCUCUAGGUAUACAGGUUCAGACAUUUUCCUUAUAUGUGUAUUUUAAGUUAUAUAGAUUUUCCUUGGGCACGGGGGGACCAAAACAGGAGGAAAUCUAUCUGCUCUUCAGAAGAUGCUCUGGCUUUGUUUGGGUGACAUUGCUUACUAUCCACUUUUUGAGCUGUUUUCCCCCUGAAUAUUUCAUUUCAUAGCAUAUAUCACACACACACACAAACCCGCAAUGGUUUUUGUGUUUUUAUUUUGGUCAAGUUCCACUGAGGGCUGCUUGCCAAUUGAAAAACCAUACUGCCAAAACACACACACACACACACCCCACCAAACACUUAGGGUUGUCUUUUGGGGAGAUGCUUGGGAAACACUUAAACUGCUGACACUCAACUAGUUCAUAUCAGAUGAUAUCAAACUGAUCACAAAGCAAUUGCCUGACCCCUCUGCCAGUGGGCAUCACAAUCCCGUCCUUGUUGGCCUCCCCCCUUUUGACCAUAUAUGGUUCCUUUCAAAGCCCCUCUCAAUAUGGCCUGCCUCUUUCUGCUGUCACAAGGAGAGCAACCACAGCCCCCUCCCACUUCUGCCCGCAUCAUAAGACUCCACUGUCCUCUGAGCCCCAAUAAAAGCAGCCCACCUUUGCUGAGCAGCUAAGUCUCCCUGGGGGGGGAGAGGGGAAACGGUUAAUGUUUCCCCUUUGCCCCCGUGGGAUGUGGGAGGGCGGCCGAAGUCCUGGGCUUUUUCCGCAAUCUCACUCCCUGUAGGGGAUCCAGGUUUCUGGUAGAGGACGCCGAGCUGUCUCCCUUAGACCCCUGCAGGCUCCUUCGGGAGCUCCUACUGGCCACCGUCUGACGUGCCCCUCUCGGGCUAAGGGCUGAAGCGGGGUCUCCCCCUCCCUGUAAGAAUAAGCUCCCCAAGCAGCUCGAAGACCCAGCUCCCAAAGGUGUGGUCCUUCUGGUUGAGCCAGAGUAGCUCAAGCUGUGUCUGGGUGGGCUCAUCCCUUGGUGGUCCUGCCCCAACACAGAUUGACCAAGGCCCACUGUUUAACCUGGCCCUGCAGGCCUGGCUGGUUGCCGCUUUUUGGAGCCGAGAAGGAAUUUUCCCCUGGGAGGUCUCUGGAUCCCCAGGUUUUUUGCCUUCUCUGCACGGCCUUCCUCUUGAGCUCUGCAAGUGCCUUGGCUUGCCGCUGAAGACGAGUCAAGCAGUGGGUCUUUCCCCCUCCCACCCCUCCCCAAAUAAAAUAUAAAUAGAUUUGAA